rnacentral:lncRNA from 11 species
UGGGAAUGUUGCAAUUGGCCACCUUGAUUAGCAUUGAAUGGCCUUGCAGCUGCAAAGUCAAUCAGGGAGAGUCUCUGCAUAGAGGUCUGUUGGAAAUGAGGCAAAUGGAAAUGUCGGAAAUGAGGAAAGUCUUGUCUGUUGGAGAAAUACAUGUGCUCUGGAGGAGUCCACACAGGGGAGAGGGAAGGAAAGCACAUGUUUUCCAUGCCUGAUGGAAUACAUAGGCGGGGAAAGGUCAUUUGAAAAGGCAAAGCAGCUUGCUGAAGAUACCGUGAAGCAAAACACAUGGAGGAAACACAUUUUGUCUCUAUAAACAGACUGCCAGGAUGAUUUUACACCUGCAUUCUUGAAACGUGGGAAGUGUAAUGCGGCCUUUUGAGAACAAAUUUCCUUUAGAGAAGAACUCAAAUCUUAAUAAAGAGGAGCCA